rnacentral:rRNA from 1 species
UGGGGAAUUUUGGACAAUGGGCGCAAGCCUGAUCCAGCAAUGCCGCGUGCAGGAUGAAGGCCUUCGGGUUGUAAACUGCUUUUGUACGGAACGAAACGGCGAGCUCUAAUACAGUUUGCUAAUGACGGUACCGUAAGAAUAAGCACCGGCUAACUACGUGCCAGCAGCCGCGGUAAUACGUAGGGUGCGAGCGUUAAUCGGAAUUACUGGGCGUAAAGCGUGCGCAGGCGGGUCUAUAAGACAGAUGUGAAAUCCCCGGGCUCAACCUGGGAAUUGCAUUUGUGACUGUAGGGCUAGAGUACGGUAGAGGGGGAUGGAAUUCCGCGUGUAGCAGUGAAAUGCGUAGAUAUGCGGAGGAACACCGAUGGCGAAGGCAAUCCCCUGGACCUGUACUGACGCUCAUGCACGAAAGCGUGGGGAGCAAACAGG